GAUGAACGCUGGCGGCGUGCCUAAUACAUGCAAGUCGAGCGAACGGACGAGAAGCUUGCUUCUCUGAUGUUAGCGGCGGACGGGUGAGUAACACGUGGAUAACCUACCUAUAAGACUGGGAUAACUUCGGGAAACCGGAGCUAAUACCGGAUAAUAUUUUGAACCGCAUGGUUCAAAAGUGAAAGACGGUCUUGCUGUCACUUAUAGAUGGAUCCGCGCUGCAUUAGCUAGUUGGUAAGGUAACGGCUUACCAAGGCAACGAUGCAUAGCCGACCUGAGAGGGUGAUCGGCCACACUGGAACUGAGACACGGUCCAGACUCCUACGGGAGGCAGCAGUAGGGAAUCUUCCGCAAUGGGCGAAAGCCUGACGGAGCAACGCCGCGUGAGUGAUGAAGGUCUUCGGAUCGUAAAACUCUGUUAUUAGGGAAGAACAUAUGUGUAAGUAACUGUGCACAUCUUGACGGUACCUAAUCAGAAAGCCACGGCUAACUACGUGCCAGCAGCCGCGGUAAUACGUACGUGGCAAGCGUUAUCCGGAAUUAUUGGGCGUAAAGCGCGCGUACGCGGUUUUUUAAGUCUGAUGUGAAAGCCCACGGCUCAACCGUGGAGGGUCAUUGGAAACUGGAAAACUUGAGUGCAGAAGAGGAAGGUGGAAUUCCAUGUGUAGCGGUGAAAUGCGCAGAGAUAUGGAGGAACACCAGUGGCGAAGGCGACUUUCUGGUCUGUAACUGACGCUGAUGUGCGAAAGCGUGGGGAUCAAACAGGAUUAGAUACCCUGGUAGUCCACGCCGUAAACGAUGAGUGCUAAGUGUUAGGGGGUUUCCGCCCCUUAGUGCUGCAGCUAACGCAUUAAGCACUCCGCCUGGGGAGUACGACCGCAAGGUUGAAACUCAAAGGAAUUGACGGGGACCCGCACAAGCGGUGGAGCAUGUGGUUUAAUUCGAAGCAACGCGAAGAACCUUACCAAAUCUUGACAUCCUUUGACAACUCUAGAGAUAGAGCUUUCCCCUUCGGGGGACAAAGUGACAGGUGGUGCAUGGUUGUCGUCAGCUCGUGUCGUGAGAUGUUGGGUUAAGUCCCGCAACGAGCGCAACCCUUAAGCUUAGUUGCCAUCAUUAAGUUGGGCACUCUAAGUUGACUGCCGGUGACAAACCGGAGGAAGGUGGGGAUGACGUCAAAUCAUCAUGCCCCUUAUGAUUUGGGCUACACACGUGCUACAAUGGACAAUACAAAGGGCAGCGAAACCGUGAGGUCAAGCAAAUCCCAUAAAGUUGUUCUCAGUUCGGAUUGUAGUCUGCAACUCGACUACAUGAAGCUGGAAUCGCUAGUAAUCGUAGAUCAGCAUGCUACGGUGAAUACGUUCCCGGGUCU
rnacentral:rRNA from 1 species